rnacentral:misc_RNA from 1 species
UGAAAAAGGAAUUUGUUUCUUUACAGAUUUUCUAGUUGUUGGUGAGAACCAACAGACAUUUGAUCUUGAAGGUGACAGUGGUAGCCUCAUUCUCUUGACUAGCCCUGAGGGGGAGAAGCCACGACCUAUAGGAAUAAUUUGGGGGGGAACUGCCAAUCGAGGUCGUUUAAAAUUGAGAGUUGGCCAACCUCCUGAGAAUUGGACUAGUGGGGUUGACUUGGGGCGUCUCCUUGAUCUUCUUGAACUUGAUCUCAUUACAUCCAACGAGAGUCUCCAAGUUGCAUUGCAAGAUCAAAUUAUUGCAUCAGCUGCGGGUAUUGGUUCGGCUGUUGGAGGGUCAUCACCAGCCGAGCGGAUUCAACUGAAAGCUGAAGUAAACUUUGAGCCCAUCAAUUUAAACGUCCGACAAGAUCCCAUCGAUGAUGAAUCUGACGAAGGGGUAGUUCCACCACUUGAGCAUAAACACUUCCACAUUCAGGAUGGAAAUAAAGCAACUCCUUGCGUCGAGCAUCAGUUUAUCCCAAGUGUCUCUGGGAUUCAACAUGGAAAUGGGGAACUAAAAAGACUCUCUGUGGUGGGAGGAUCAGAUGAUGAGAUGUAUGUUUCUUUGCAGUUAGGGGAGCAGCGCGAACCAAAGAGAAGGAAACAAUGAUGAGUCGUCUCCGUUUGCCAAAAUAAAAAAAAGAGUGAAUUGCUUCAUUUUAUCUGCUUCAUUUGUCUUUGGAAGGCUCAGUCAUGCAUUGAGCUGGGAGGAGUUGGAGUAUUAUUUAAGCCUCCCACCAGUAUGAGUAUUAUUAUUGUUAUUAUUAUUCUUUCACUUUUAAUUCAUGAAGCUACAUAUAGAGGUUAGAUAUUAAGUUGUACAAUAUGUAAGAAAUGUGUUUAGAAGAGAAUUGUAUCUAUUUGUUG